rnacentral:lncRNA from 1 species
AACAUUGAUGUUAAUAAGGGCCAGCCAAAUAAUGUUCUAUGCACUCAUUAAUGAAAGGUCUGUUGCAUCGGUCUUUGAUGAACAAUGUUGAUUACGGAUUCCAUGCAACUAUACGUGUGGAUGUUUCUUGAGUUCAUCAUUAUAAAUAAAUAGUAGUAAUUUCUCUAUAUUUCAGGGUUUCUCAAAAAUAAGAUCCACGAAAGUUUGAAGAAUGGGUUAUGAAUUCGCCACACUGAAUUUUAGUACCUUUGAAAUUUUCAUUAGAGAAACCUCUAAAGUUGGUGGAUAAUGAAAUUCAACAGUCGGUGAGUUCUCAUCCCAAAUGCACCCCAAAACUAGACAAUUGUUGUUAUCU